rnacentral:tRNA from 2 species
AUAAACAUGUUAUGCUUUUUAGAAAGUUAGAAGCUUUCUUUAUUUUAAUUUCUUU